GGCUCUUUUUUUGUUUCUUGGUUGGUUUGUUUAUUAAGGCAUGGAGAGGUGAGCUUGUGUUGUGGGAAUAAGAGAAGGGAUUCGUGGGAAGAGACUGAAAAUGCAAUCUAGAGAGGGUCAUGGGUGGAGAGGGGUGCAGAAAGAUGGGGGUCAGCUUGACUCUUGUGGUUUCCCUGAACUCUGCCUCAUUCUGGAGAGAACUGGGGAGAACUGGUGUCUCAGUGGGACUGUGGAAUCCACAGGUGCAGAAUGAGGUGCUUGUCCGGCUGAGGCGGGUCUUCCUGGAGUUGGAAGCAUGGAUGUACAGGAAACCCUGUCACCAAGGCUGGCAAUUCCACCUGAGGGUCAACUCGAGAAGUGGCCAUCAGAAACCUGUGAUGAUGAACCCGUGGCUCUCCUUUUGCCUGGUGCACCCCAAGUGUGGGGACUGUACUUGGCACACAAUAGGCAUUUAAUGCACAUUGAAUGGAUGAAGUCUGAAUGUGGUUGCUCAGAGUUGGUGAUUACCGAAGUCAGAAUGGAUGGAGGUCAAGGGGCUGUGUCUUGAGGGAGGAAGGAAGAACCUCGUGGCAAUGGCUGAACUGGGAAUCCAGAGGUAAACUGAUCCAGCAUGGGGGAGGGAGGCUUAGGGUCUGGAGAUGAUUUAAUAAGAGUAGCAGGGCCCAAGAGGGAGGCAGCAGGAAUGUGGCUGGAGGAGCCUCCAGGAGCCCUCUGCCAGGGUCGUGAGAACCCAUGGGCUGGGGCCAGGGAGAUGAGAGGUCGAGGCUGGGACCAUGGUGUCCUCUUCUUAAUCAAAAGCUGAUGCAUUUUGUUUCCUCUUGAAGGUCUCAGAAUCCCCACAAAUCCCUGCCUUGUUCACAACAGUUGGGGCUUUGUGCUUCUCUCUGAAAUAAAACUUUUAUCUUAAAAAAAGAAAAGAAAAUGUAUCCAAUAUAGUAUAUCAUAAUCACAGUAUUGGGAACUUUUCCAACCCUGGUGGGAAGGAGGAGGAAAGUCGUGGGUUCACUGGGGCACAGGAAAAAAAUGCCAGAGAAGUCCACCCCUAAUUUUUUUCCUCUCCUCUUCUGGGUUUCUGUGGUAAUGGAUUGAAAAUACACAGGAAAUGUAAUGCAAAACUUGGCUUUGAUUUUUUUUUCCCACCUAACUCUUUAAAGGUUUGGAAAGAUUUGAUUACAUGGCAGGGAAAGUAAAAAUGUGGAUGAAAUACCCUGACGCUCAGGCCACAUGACCAGGUGAUAAGGCGUUCAGAGACUGCCAGCGGCCGCUGCUGGCUCAGGUGCGGCCUGUGUGGGAGGACUCGUGUCUCGGUGGUUACAGAGAAGCUGGCUUCCACUGUGUGAACCCGACUGAAUCACAGGCCGCUUUUUUGUUCUCCCUCGGCCUUGGAGGGCCUGGGACGUUCCUGUUGCCCAACAUCCUGGUGAGCUGAGAACAUUCUGUAGAUUAAUUAGGUUCUCUCCUCUGCCUCAGCAGGUCUGUUCUAGCCAUUCGACCAAAGGCUCUCUGAUAUUUUCUACCAGCCUUAGAACGACAGUCUGCAGAUGUGUGCACAUAAAUGUCUGGGAGGAGCACACAGAUACUGUGGGAGGAGUGGGUCCGGCGUAGCUAUUGGGAGAUCUCGCUCGUACACAUGGCGCUACAUAGAAAGAAUGCCCUGAGGUGAAGGUGACAGCUCGGCAGUUUCUUAAUACCCUGAACUUGAGUGUGGCCUGCGCUAGAGAAAAUACACGGUGCUUCUUAAAAACAAAAGCCAGCAGCCUGCGAGUAGGGCUGUGCCUGCGAGUUCCUGGGAGCAGGAGGGGGCUGUUCCUCCGCCCCUGGCUCCAGUUUCACCCAAGUCACUUCACAGCGGUUGGAAGGAGGUCACCAAUUGUGAGUGUAGGGAGGGGGCGGGGAGGGAGAGGAAGUGGGAUGAAAAGGGAAGGCCCGGGUCAGCUGGGAGAGGAGCUCGCGGGCUUUCCGGCGGGCUGGCCUGAAGUGGAAGGGCCCAGGGCUGCCUGCCACCCUCAGAUGCCACGCAGGUGUUGGGAGGGCACCCGUCUGUGGGCUCAGGGACGUGUUCCCACCGACAGGCACAGAAUGGAAAGCACCUUGGGGGAGACGCCCUUCUCCCCAUCUCAGGAGGGAGGCCGGGCCUGCAGACCGCCAGCCCUUCCCCAGCGCUCACUGUGAGCUCCCUCCCCCCACCCGCCCCCCACGUGCUGGGGAGCAGGUCCGUUUCCCCAGCAGUUUGCCUCUGGUCUUUGUGUUUGCUCUGAGGCCAGGCGCGCCCCCUGCUGCAGGCCUGGGCUCCUGUGUGGAGUUCUCCUUUCAGAUGUUGCUAAAAUGUCUUGAAAGGCUGUGGCCACACCAACAGACGUCGUCCGGCCUUCUUCACACGAAACGAAGCGCCCAGGUGGAAAUGCAUGUACCCGCGGCAGCUUCUCGGCAGCGGGCUUCCUGGGACGGAAGAGACAGGCUCGCCCGAGGGAGACGGAAGCAGGGGAUCUGCUAGAACUCAGCUCGCCUCUUCCUUUCUCAGCAGGGCAGAGAAUCAUGGGCUUGUGCUGACGAAAGCUCCAGAAAAUGGACUCAUUUAACCUUUCCAAAGAUAUUAUCCAAGCUGCAACAUCUUGGCAAUCUAAAGACCUUUUAAGUCGAUAUACCGAAGAGCUUUAGUCAGGAUUGAAUGCAAAAUGCCAAAAUUUCACUUUUAAAAUCAUCGUAACAUCUAAAUACAACCUAAGCACACUUGUAAACUGAUGCCGAACAGGCACUUGGAGAGCCCUCCCCGCACCCCUUCCUCGCCCCUUCCUUUGUGCAAAUGCUGUUUGCCCAGAACUUCAGCCACUGAAAAUCCUGGGAACUUUCUCUUCCUGGCUGCCAACCUAGCAGUUUGGACUCACAAACGAGAUUUUUAAAUCACUGAGGGAUUUAAGCCUCUCUGUGUCACAGAAAAGCCAACACCCUCCCAGUUGAAGGUGGCCCCAAAGAUGCGGGCCUGGGACCCAGGACUUCUGCAGGAUAGUGGACGCCUGGGUUCCCCCCGCCUUGCCCUGCACAUGAAUAACAGAGUACACCAGUCAUCAUAAGAAGAAAAAUUCACAUUUAAAGUUUGGAAAGCAACAGGACAAAGGUCUGUCUUCAGUGGUGCGUAGACAUGCUCGUGACUGAAUUGGAAAUAGUUCUCUUUCCUUCUCUCUGACUUCCUAACUGAAAAGCUGCAGCGUGGGGAGAAAGGCUGCUCAGAAGCCUGGAGCCAGAACACGCACCCCGGCUUUCGUAGGGCAGGCUCACUUGGUUAGAAUAGAAGGAAAAGCCUUGUUAUUUGGGAAGCUGGGCGUCCUCACCAAAUUAGGGGAUUUAAUUUGCAGAUAUCUAAGGAGUGCUUUGAAAUGAAAGAUGAACUAAAAUCUGCUCUGAGGCCCAUGAUUUUUCACCAGUGGAGAAGGAUUCUCUUGCUGCUGGACAUACGUGAAAAGCAUCAUCUGAUCUGAAACGCAAGUCCCUGCAAGACAGAGGAGAGACUUUAUAAACAUUUUAUACCAUUCUAUGAAAUCAAUUCGAUUCAGAGCUAGAAUUCAAGAAAUAAUCCAUGGAGAGUAUCCUACGAAGAUGGUCUCAAAGUACUUUGAGAUGAACAGAAUGUUCUAUAAAUGGGUAUUGAAAAUAAUCAAGACAUUCAUGGAUCCAAACAGGCCACAGAAAUACCAUAGCAACAAAUGAACAAUAAUUGCUGCAUUAUGGGCUCUUUCCCCAGCUGCACUCAUGCAAUCAAAGCUCUGCUGCGUCUUCAGAGGAGCCCAGGUCAGGUCUGGCUGCCAUCACCCAUGAGGAAGACGUGCGGAGCCAGACAGGUGCCUGGAGGAAAGGUGGGUGUGUGCUGUCCUGCCCCAUCCUCUCUGUUUCCCUCCCACGUGUUUGCAGAGACGUCCUUAGCAUGGAACCAGGGCCCUUGACAGAGACAUUGUCAUUCUGGACACCCCACACCCAAGCCAGUUCAUCCAAGUCACCCGAUAAAAUUGUGCUCUGAAGAAACUGCCUGUUGCAGCAAACUCCUUACCUUACU